CCGCAUCUGUGCAUGCAGCAUAUCAAUAAGCGGAGGAAAAGAAACUAACAAGGAUUCCCUUAGUAACGGCGAGUGAAGCGGGAAGAGCUCAAAUUUGAAAUCUUCAAGGUUUUACCUUGACGAAUUGUAGUUUAAAGAAGUGUUUUCUGUUGAAGUUUUGGUAAAAGUUCUUUGGAAUAGGACAUCAUAGAGGGUGAGAAUCCCGUAUUUGACCAUUAUUUUCAGCUGCGUGAUACACUUUCAAAGAGUCGGAUUGUUUGGGAAUGCAGUCCAAAAUGGGUGGUAAAUUUCAUCUAAAGCUAAAUAUUGGCGAGAGACCGAUAGCGAACAAGUACCGUGAGGGAAAGAUGAAAAGAACUUUGAAAAGAGAGUUAAACAGUACGUGAAAUUGUCAAAAGGGAAGCGUUUGACACCAGUGUUGUUUUCUCGAAAAUCAAUUAAAAAGAGUUAGAUUUUGUUGUGUAUUGACCUUAACAGCUUGCAUUUCAAUUUUCUUGCUUUUUUUAAUGCACUUUUCGUUUAACAAGUCAACAUCAGUUUCUUUUGUUGUAAAAAGGUCAUUGGAAGGUGGCUUUCUUUUCGGAGAAAGUGUUUAUAGCCUUUGACUCCUGCAAUCGGAGAGACUGAGGUCUGCAGCGUAGAUCCUUCGGGGUUAGAUACAUUUGUGCUCAGUUAUAGCUUUUUAUAGACAACUUGUUGACUAUGAUUAGUCUUGUAGCUUACUCAGCUUAUGCUAUUUUACCUACGCUUAGGAUGUUGAUCUCUCACAGUCGAGC
rnacentral:rRNA from 1 species